CACGGGGUCCCUGUUCCCUGAAAGCACUGCAGAAACGCAGGAUGCCUUUUUGGAUGUGGAAGCGUGGAGCUCUGAAGAGGAGCGCAGACAGCGAGAAAUCGUCUCCUUGGAAACCAACGCGAACACAGAAGGCGCUGAACUCCAGAAGAAGCGAACCUCACUGUGGAAAUUGAUAAGAAAGGGAAGAUAAGCGUGACUAACAUGGAGCGCCAGGACUGAGAGCGCACCCUGCCGGAGACACACAGUACUACAGGGACUUCUGAUCCCGGCGGCGUCUAUUUUAACGAUCUACAUCACUUUGCUUCUUAUGUUUUCGUUCAGAAUUGUCAAUGUUGAAGUGAGUUGCUGGCUUUCAACAUUAAAGAAGUUUA